UCUGGUUGAUCCUGCCAGUAGUCAUAUGCUUGUCUCAAAGAUUAAGCCAUGCAUGUCUAAGUACAAACCUUAAUACGGUGAAACCGCGAAUGGCUCAUUAAAUCAGCUAUGGUUCCUUAGAUCGUCUCAUCCUACUCGGAUAACUGUGGAAAAUCUAGAGCUAAUACGUGCUUACAAGCCCUGACCUCACGGGAGGGGCGCAUUUAUUAGAUCAAAACCAAUCGGGGCUUGCCCCGUCUGCUUGGUGACUCUGGAUAACUUUUGUGCUGAUCGCAUGGCCUCUGCGCUGGCGACGUAUCUUUCAAGUGUCUGCCCUAUCAACUUACGAUGGUAGGUGAUAUGCCUACCAUGGUUAUAACGGGUAACGGGGAAUCAGGGUUCGAUUCCGGAGAGGGAGCCUGAGAAACGGCUACCACAUCUAAGGAAGGCAGCAGGCGCGCAAAUUACCCACUCCCGGCACGGGGAGGUAGUGACGAAAAAUAACGAUACGGGACUCUUUUGAGGCCCCGUAAUUGGAAUGAGUACACUUUAAAUCCGUUAACAAGUAUCUAUUGGAGGGCAAGUCUGGUGCCAGCAGCCGCGGUAAUUCCAGCUCCAAUAGCGUAUAUUAAUGUUGCUGCAGUUAAAAAGCUCGUAGUUGGAUCUGAGGACUCGAAUUGGUGGUGCACCAUACGGUGUUACUGCCGAUUCGGCCUACCUAGUCGGUGCUCGCUCUUGGUGUUCUUAAUUGAAUGCCCUGAGUGCCCGGCAAGUUUACUUUGAAAAAAUUAGAGUGCUCAAAGCAGGCCAUUAGCCGGAAUACUUCAGCAUGGAAUAAUGGAAUAGGACUUCGGUUCUAUUUUGUUGGUUUUCGGAACCCGAGGUAAUGAUUAAGAGAGACAGACGGGGGCAUUCGUACUGCGGUGUUAGAGGUGAAAUUCUUGGAUCGCCGCAAGACGAACAACUGCGAAAGCAUUUGCCAAGAAUGUUUUCAUUAAUCAAGAACGAAAGUCAGAGGUUCGAAGACGAUCAGAUACCGUCCUAGUUCUGACCAUAAACGAUGCCAACUGGCGAUCCGAGAUCGUUUGCUUAUUGACCUCUCGGGCAGCCUCCGGGAAACCAAAGUUUUUAGGUUCCGGGGGAAGUAUGGUUGCAAAGCUGGAAACUGUUCAAUUGCAACUCUGCCUGUGACACCAAGUGGUCGGGUUACUUGGUCUGUUCUGGCCCGGAGUCGGUAGGGUUUCCGGCCUUGUGCUCUUUCCUUACUGUUCUCUGUAACGCCGAAGGCGGGGCUUCCACGGUGGGGAAGCGGUUGUACAAAUCCGGCAAAUCCAGCCAAAUGGGUUCCGGACUCUGUCCAACCUGCAACUGGUAACAGCCUCGGCUGGCUAACAUUUGAGCUGGGACUCGCUUGGAGGAGCGAGGAUAAUAUAAACCUCUAUGUGACUGAGGUGAGGAAUCUGGUUCUCGUAAAAUGGCUGGAGAUCCCGAGCCUGUAAGUCAUAAAUUAGUUCCCCCACGAGGAGGUGUCGAAUUGAAGCCAGUGCGUGCCCUUACUAGUUUAAGGGAUUGUAUACUUCCUUUGGUGUACCCACCUGGAAGUGCCCAAGGGGUCCUAUCCCUGCACUCCAACCCCGAUUGGAGUCAGGUGACGGCUCCUUACCUCACCAGACGCGGCCGG
rnacentral:rRNA from 1 species